UUCCCCUCAGUCGCCUCGUGCCUGCAGUUUUUGGAUUUCACCCCUAACAGUGACCAAAGACUUGAUCACUCAAAGUCCAGCUCCCUAUAACACUGCUCGACAUGGACACUGGUGUGAUUGAAGGUGGAUUAAAUGUCGCUCUCACCAUCCGGCUACUUAUGCAUGGAAAGUUUUAUCCGUUAUAGGAAAUUGGCAGUAUCUUCGGGAAGAAAAGAGAAUCCUUUAAGAAGAUGAGCGAGGAGAGUGGUGCACGUAUCAUCAUCUCAGAAGGGAAUUGUCCUGAGAGAAUUAUCACUUUGGCCGGACCCACUAAUGCCAUCUUCAAAGCCUUUGCUACAAUCAGUGACAAACUGGAACUGGACAUAGCAGCUCUAUGACCAAUAGUAUAGCUGCAAGUAGAUAAGGCUGGUGGUUCCUACUAGUCAAUGUGGCUCUCUCAUUGGAAAAGGUGGUUGCAAGAUCAAGGAAAUAUGAGAGAGUUCAGGGGCUCAGGUCCAGGUGGCAGGGGAUAUGCUUCCCAACUCAUCUGAGCGGGCCAUCACUAUUGCUGGCAUUCCGCAAUUCAUCACUGAGUGUGUCAAACAGAUCUGCGUGGUCUUAUUGGAGACUCUCUCCCAGUCCCCUCUGAAGGGUGUGACCAUCCUGUACCGGCCCAAGACGUCAAGUUCUCCAGUCAUCUUUGCAGGUGGUCAGGCCUAUACCAUUCAAGGACAGUAUGCCAUUCCACAGCCAGAUUUGACCAAGCUGCACCAAUUCGCAAUGCAACAGUCUCAUUUUCUCAUGACGCAUGGCAACACCGGAUUCAGUGGCAUUGAAUCCAGCUAUCCAGAGGUGAAAGGCUUUGGGCAGGUUUGGAUGCAUCUGCUCAGACUACUUCUCAUGAACUCACCAUUCCAAAUGAUCUGAUUGGCUGCAUAAUCAGGCGUCAGGGCGUCAAAAUCAAUGAGAUCCAUCAGAUGUAUGGGGCGCAGAUCAAAAUUGCGAACCCAGUGGAAGGAUCUACUGAUAGGCAGGUCACCAUCAAUGGAUCUGCUGCCUGGCUCAGUAUCUAAUCAAUAUCAGGCUUUCCUAGGAGACGGGUGGCAUGGGGAGCAGCUAGAACAAUGCAGACUCAUCCAUAAUCCCUUUCUCCUGUUCACCUCCACCACCCAUGAUCCAUCUGUGUAGUUUCUGAACAGUCAGCGAAUCCAGGUUUUAAAU